rnacentral:lncRNA from 1 species
AUGUCGAGUGGAAUCCACAGUUUGCAACGUGCAGCUUUGCAGCCGAGGAAGCGGCAGUACCCCCUCGCUGCAUUGGCUAAUAGGCUGGAAAGCUGUGUUCGUUAUCGCCCUCGGGAGCCUGUCUUGGUUCAGCGACAACGAGGUACGACAGGGAGAAAGCUGGAGCAGUGUGCCUGGCUCCUGCACUCUGAAGAGGAUGCUCCGCUCUGCUCUGCAGCGAUGCGCCCGGGAGGACAGCAGUUAAGAUGUGGGCCUUAUUUUCCUGCCCAAAUCCCGCAGGGGAAGAAGCGAUCCCAUGCUAUUCGUUGUUUUGAGAUUAUUGAAGAAACCACUGCUAUUGAACUAGCAGGGGAUCUUUCCUUCUGUGACCUUUGCCAGAGCAUCUGAUUGGUAUGCCCCAGCUGCAGGCCCUAAUUUUCUUGGGAAAGUUUUAAGAUCAUCUGAAAAGCAACCAUCUUCUUUCCUAGCCCUUAACUGACUUGUACGGGCUUUUCCUGGCCUUUCCAACUGCAGUGUGAAGGGGAUUGUUUGUUUUCUUUUUAAAUGCUAUCCUGCCUGCCUCCUCUUUUUUAACAAAACUGUACGUGAAGACUCGCUGUGUAUCGAGCAUGGCACAUGGACGGAGUGGCUGCUUUGAACUACUUUCGGAACAAUGGAUUCUGCUUGACUGAUAAUGAAACCAUGGGAUAGACCUCAGGGAGGUAAGUCAUAUGUUAAUUUGUUCUUGAAGUUUCCUUAGUAUGUUAAAAGCUGUGAUCUUUCAGAAAAAUCUCUUAUUUCUAUUUUUUUUUUUAAUUACUUCCUGGGGCCAUGGCAGAUGCUGUUUGGAAUGACACCCAAUGAGUUGUUCUAAUGUAGUCCAGUGCUCGAUUGGCAUUCUCCUAUUGUGCAAAUAUUUUUGGUGGUACUUUUCCCGCAAAGAUAUUUUAUUAAGUGCGGCACAUUGUUAUACACAUGUGGUGCUAUGGAGCCCCAGAAUAUGCAUGGGACAUAGUGUUGAGCUGCAGGAACACAAUAGCAAUGAGUCACUGGAAUCCCUUGUUGGUCACAAGAGUUUGAACAACUGCAGUGAUAAUCUUUUGAGACAAUGUACAACUCCAGUGGUAUUUGCGAUCUGCUCCGUGGUCUCACUCAGUUAGCUGCUUCAUUGGCUGGGCUUUGGGGGUAUUCUAAUCGUGUUGGCACAGUCACUUUGAUUAACGGUGACAUGCAACUUGCAAGUCUCUGGGCUUGCGCCGACCUCAAUAAAGUUGCGUGCUUUAUUUCUUUUCA